UGUCACUCGACUGCAGCUGGAGACAGAGAUCGAGGCUCUCAAGGAGGAGCUGCUCUUCAUGAAGAAGAACCACGAAGAGGAAGUAAAAGGCCUACAAGCCCAGAUUGCCAGCUCUGGGUUGACCGUGGAGGUAGAUGCCCCCAAAUCUCAGGACCUCGCCAAGAUCAUGGCAGACAUCUGGGCCCAAUAUGACGAGCUGGCUCGGAAGAACCGAGAGGCGCUAGACAAGUACUGGUCUCAGCAGAUUGAGGAGAGCACCACAGUGGUCACCACACAGUCCACCGAGGUUGAAGCUGCUGAGACGACGCUCACAGAGCUGAGACGUACAGUCCAGUCCUUGGAGAUUGACCUGGACUCCGUGAGAAAUUUGAAGGCCAGCUUGGAGAACAGCCUGAGGGAGGUGGAGGCCCGCUACGCCCUACAGAUGGAGCAGCUCAAUGGGAUCCUGCUGCACCUGGAGUCAGAGCUGGCACAGACCCGGGCAGAGGGACAGCGACAGGCCCAGGAGUAUGAGGCCCUGCUGAACAUCAAGGUCAAGCUGGAAGCUGAGAUCGCCACCUACCGCCGCCUGCUGGAAGAUGGCGAGGAAUUCAAUCUUGGUGAUGCCUUGGACAGCAGCAACUCCAUGCAAACCAUCCAAAAGACCACCACCCGCCAGAUAGUGGAUGGCAAAGUGGUGUCUGAGACCAAGGACACCAAAGUUCUGAGGCAUUAAGCCAGCAGAAGCAGGGUACCCUUUGGGGAGCAGGAGGCCAAUAAAAAGUUCAGAGUUAAAAA